rnacentral:rRNA from 1 species
ACGAACGCUGGCGGCGUGCCUAAUACAUGCAAGUCGAACGCUUCUUUUUCCACCGGAGCUUGCUCCACCGGAAAAAGAGGAGUGGCGAACGGGUGAGUAACACGUGGGUAACCUGCCCAUCAGAAGGGGAUAACACUUGGAAACAGGUGCUAAUACCGUAUAACAAUCGAAACCGCAUGGUUUUGAUUUGAAAGGCGCUUUCGGGUGUCGCUGAUGGAUGGACCCGCGGUGCAUUAGCUAGUUGGUGAGGUAACGGCUCACCAAGGCGACGAUGCAUAGCCGACCUGAGAGGGUGAUCGGCCACAUUGGGACUGAGACACGGCCCAAACUCCUACGGGAGGCAGCAGUAGGGAAUCUUCGGCAAUGGACGAAAGUCUGACCGAGCAACGCCGCGUGAGUGAAGAAGGUUUUCGGAUCGUAAAACUCUGUUGUUAGAGAAGAACAAGGAUGAGAGUAACUGUUCAUCCCUUGACGGUAUCUAACCAGAAAGCCACGGCUAACUACGUGCCAGCAGCCGCGGUAAUACGUAGGUGGCAAGCGUUGUCCGGAUUUAUUGGGCGUAAAGCGAGCGCAGGCGGUUUCUUAAGUCUGAUGUGAAAGCCCCCGGCUCAACCGGGGAGGGUCAUUGGAAACUGGGAGACUUGAGUGCAGAAGAGGAGAGUGGAAUUCCAUGUGUAGCGGUGAAAUGCGUAGAUAUAUGGAGGAACACCAGUGGCGAAGGCGGCUCUCUGGUCUGUAACUGACGCUGAGGCUCGAAAGCGUGGGGAGCAAACAGGAUUAGAUACCCUGGUAGUCCACGCCGUAAACGAUGAGUGCUAAGUGUUGGAGGGUUUCCGCCCUUCAGUGCUGCAGCUAACGCAUUAAGCACUCCGCCUGGGGAGUACGACCGCAAGGUUGAAACUCAAAGGAAUUGACGGGGGCCCGCACAAGCGGUGGAGCAUGUGGUUUAAUUCGAAGCAACGCGAAGAACCUUACCAGGUCUUGACAUCCUUUGACCACUCUAGAGAUAGAGCUUUCCCUUCGGGGACAAAGUGACAGGUGGUGCAUGGUUGUCGUCAGCUCGUGUCGUGAGAUGUUGGGUUAAGUCCCGCAACGAGCGCAACCCUUAUUGUUAGUUGCCAUCAUUUAGUUGGGCACUCUAGCAAGACUGCCGGUGACAAACCGGAGGAAGGUGGGGAUGACGUCAAAUCAUCAUGCCCCUUAUGACCUGGGCUACACACGUGCUACAAUGGGAAGUACAACGAGUCGCAAAGUCGCGAGGCUAAGCUAAUCUCUUAAAGCUUCUCUCAGUUCGGAUUGUAGGCUGCAACUCGCCUACAUGAAGCCGGAAUCGCUAGUAAUCGCGGAUCAGCACGCCGCGGUGAAUACGUUCCCGGGCCUUGUACACACCGCCCGUCACACCACGAGAGUUUGUAACACCCGAAGUCGGUGAGGUAACCUUUUGGAGCCAGCCGCCUAAGGUGGGAUAGAUGAUUGGGGUG